rnacentral:rRNA from 1 species
UACGAAGGGGGCUAGCGUUGCUCGGAAUCACUGGGCGUAAAGGGCGCGCAGGCGGCUGCUCAAGUCAGGCGUGAAAGGCCUGGGCUCAACCCGGGAAUUGCGCUUGAGACUGGGCUGGCUUGAGUGCGGGAGAGGAUGGUGGAAUUCCCAGUGUAGAGGUGAAAUUCGUAGAUAUUGGGAAGAACACCGGUGGCGAAGGCGGCCAAGUCGUCGGACCGCUAAGUCGGAACCGCGUGACGG